CAGCCAGCACAGUUCUUAUCGGCACUCAGAAACCACAGGCAUGCAUAAACAAUCUUGUUCUUCUCUUCAAAACCUCCAAUUUCCAUGCAAAAUCUCUACUCUUUCUCCAUACAAUUCUUUAAGCAAGCAGUUUACAGCGAUAUCACAGGGAGACCUUCUCGACUUCACUAAGUCUUAAGGAAACAUUUCCAUACAUCCAUCUUCCAGGAAAUACCUCUAGUUCACCUUCAAGCAACAACAGUGUCAAUACAAAGCUCUUCCAGUCUGUUUUUCAUCACCAAGGGUAUUGAUGAAGUAUUAGCCCAGAUAGACAUUCAACAGAAACAUCAUAAUCCAAUCAAACACGGGGAGUUUUCCCCCUCAGUCAACUCCCACAUAUCAUAGUGACAACAGACACCAGCUUAAAAGGAUGGGGAACUCACUGCCCAGAUACGUGAUUCAAGGAGAGUGUGUCUUCAAAAAAAAGAGAGAGAGAGAGAGAGAGAACAAACAGUAUAUAAUGGUUCGAAACCAGAGUGAUAAGGCUGGCAUUAUUAGCCUUUUCUUAAUCAGCCUGGAUCUUUUAAAUAUGCAGAGUAGCACUUGCUGGGUCUCAGGACUCAGACAAAAAAAGAGAGAAUCACGGAAAGCAACAGCAAACCAAAAAAUGUGCCAUGAUAAACUUACUAAGUCAGCAAAAUGAACUAUAUUAUAAUAACAAUAAAGGAAGAAU